rnacentral:rRNA from 1 species
CCUACGGGAGGCAGCAGUGAGGAAUAUUGGUCAAUGGGCGGAAGCCUGAACCAGCCAAGUCGCGUGAGGGAUUAAGGCCCUACGGUUCGUAAACCUCUUUUGCCGGGGAGCAGAGGUCCGGACGUGUCCGGGCCGGGAGAGUACCCGGAGAAAAAGCAUCGGCUAACUCAGUGCCAGCAGCCGCGGUAAUACGGAGGAUGCGAGCGUUAUCCGGAUUUAUUGGGUUUAAAGGGUGCGUAGGCGGGCAUUUAAGCCGGCGGUCAAAUGUCGGGGCUCAACCCCGGCCUGCCGUCGGAACUGGGUGCCUUGAGUGGGCGAGAAGUAUGCGGAAUGCGUGGUGUAGCGGUGAAAUGCAGAGAUAUCACGCAGAACCCCGAUUGCGAAGGCAGCAUACCGGCGCCCUACUGACGCUGAGGCACGAAAGUGCGGGUAUCGAACAGGAUUAGAUACCCGAGUAGUC